rnacentral:tRNA from 1 species
GGUUUGGUGGUCUAGUGGUAUGAUUCUCGCUUAGGGCUCACCCUAAAGCAGUGCUUGCGAGAGGUCCCGGGUUCAAUCCCCGGCCAAACCC